UUUACACAAUUCACUUACGUUAAAUGAAUGAAAUAAAGUUGUGUUGCUUCUGCAGUACCGCAUGUUGAUCAGCAGGUGGAGCUAUAUCUGCACAUGCGCAGAUAGAACGCACAUGGUUCAAUCUUCUCUUCUGAUUGACGCCAUUUUGUGCAGUUCGUUUUGUGUUCAUGCGGAGACACAGAGUUUUGGUGUUAUGCCUCCAGAGUCCCUCAAGUGGCUGUGCAAAGAUAGUGGCUCGUUUCACACAUCCAGAUCAAAGCUUUUAAAACACUUCAGGAUGUCCCCAUCAAAAAAAGACGUGAAUGCAUCCUAAAAGCCCUUGUUGUUUAUGUGAAUGAAGACCUCUCAAACCUUGUGAAGGAGUACAUGGACGUUGAACAUGAAGCCCAAACCUCAAUGUGCAACACCACCCUAGGAAUCUAUGUCAUCAAACCUGAAGGGGCACAUGCCACAGACCCUUACCAAGAUGUUGGCAUCAUCGUUGAAGGCAUCAAAAUACUUGAAAACCUGAACAAUGUUGCCAAUGCGUGUUCUAUGAUGCUUGGUCUAAUUUAUGCAUUAAACUUGGCCUACCCGCAAGACUUGAGAUACACAUUUGAAACAUUUUAAAAGCUUUUUAUGGAGCUAGAUGCCAACAAGCUGUCAAACAAGGUCCAUGUCCUAAAAAAUAAACUUCUUUUGUAAGUACUAACUUGAGGUAAGGUUCAAGAGGUGGUACUUAUGUUUCCUCGAUGUUACACUGUUGGCUUGUUACAGUACAUUGGUUCCAAGACUGACCAUGUUACACUUUUCAGUAUUGAUCUCAUUUUAAAUAAGUGCUUUAUUUUUUAUCCCAAUUUAAUGGAGGCACAGACUGCAAGAGAGACUUUUCACCCACUUCAUUUCAUUUAUAGCAAUGCUUUUUUUGUUGUUGUUUUUUUGUAUGUGCUUUUAAUAAGAAAACGGAAAGCAGUUUUAAAGAUACAGAUUUUGACCAAAUAAUUUGUGAAAGGUAUGUUCUUGAAUGCAUUAAGUGCAUUUACAGUGUAUUUGAUUUACUUAAAAUAGUAGGAAAACAUUGAGACAGUGUUUACUGAAUUUUGCACAUAAUUCUUGUUAAAAAGGUGUAGAAGUAUAUUUCAGUUGCAAUAAUAGGAGAAAACAAUGAGAUAUUGUUCACAUUGUACAGAUGUUGUACAAAAUGCACUGACUGAAUAAAGUAAUUCAAACCAGAAAAAAAACAUUUUUAUUUUGGUUGAAUGUAAAAAAUAUAUAUAAUUCAGUUGAACUUAAUUGAGUUAAUAGUUUAAAAUAAAAACAAGAUUGUUAAUCUGAUUCAACUAAACAAAAUUACAUUACCUUUAUAUAAAAAACUUAAGUUUACUGAAAUAGAUAAUGUUACUUAAACUCAACAGCACAUAGUUACGUGGAACCUGUUGACAUAAUAAACUUAAUUAAAUCCAACAUAUCAUUUUUUUGAGUGUAUACUCAUACAACAUUUAACCAUGCAAGUACUGUAGUAAUCGUUAUUUUUGUUUUUACUAUGGUUUUACUGCAAAAGCUGUAGUAA